rnacentral:rRNA from 1 species
GACGAACGCUGGCGGCGUGCCUAAUACAUGCAAGUCGAGCGAAUGGAUGGGAGCUUGCUCCCUGAAGUUAGCGGCGGACGGGUGAGUAACACGAGGGCAACCUGCCUGUAAGACUGGGAUAACUUCGGGAAACCGGAGCUAAUACCGGAUACAUUCUUUCUUCGCCUGAAGAAAGAUGGAAAGAUGGUUUCGGCUAUCACUUACAGAUGGGCCCGCGGCGCAUUAGCUAGUUGGUGAGGUAACGGCUCACCAAGGCAACGAUGCGUAGCCGACCGGAGAGGGUGAUCGGCCACACUGGGACUGAGACACGGCCCAGACUCCUACGGGAGGCAGCAGUAGGGAAUCUUCCGCAAUGGACGAAAGUCUGACGGAGCAACGCCGCGUGAGCGAAGAAGGCCUUCGGGUCGUAAAGCUCUGUUGUUAGGGAAGAACAAGUACCAGAGUAACUGCUGGUACCUUGACGGUACCUAACCAGAAAGCCACGGCUAACUACGUGCCAGCAGCCGCCGUAAUAC